rnacentral:rRNA from 1 species
AAAUUGAAGAGUUUGAUCAUGGCUCAGAUUGAACGCUGGCGGCAGGCCUAACACAUGCAAGUCGAGCGGUAGCACAGAGAGCUUGCUCUCGGGUGACGAGCGGCGGACGGGUGAGUAAUGUCUGGGAAACUGCCUGAUGGAGGGGGAUAACUACUGGAAACGGUAGCUAAUACCGCAUAAUGUCGCAAGACCAAAGUGGGGGACCUUCGGGCCUCAUGCCAUCAGAUGUGCCCAGAUGGGAUUAGCUAGUAGGUGGGGUAAUGGCUCACCUAGGCGACGAUCCCUAGCUGGUCUGAGAGGAUGACCAGCCACACUGGAACUGAGACACGGUCCAGACUCCUACGGGAGGCAGCAGUGGGGAAUAUUGCACAAUGGGCGCAAGCCUGAUGCAGCCAUGCCGCGUGUGUGAAGAAGGCCUUCGGGUUGUAAAGCACUUUCAGCGGGGAGGAAGGCGGUGAGAUUAAUAACCUCAUCGAUUGACGUUACCCGCAGAAGAAGCACCGGCUAACUCCGUGCCAGCAGCCGCGGUAAUACGGAGGGUGCAAGCGUUAAUCGGAAUUACUGGGCGUAAAGCGCACGCAGGCGGUCUGUCAAGUCGGA